rnacentral:rRNA from 1 species
GACGAACGCUGGCGGCGUGCUUAACACAUGCAAGUCGAACGGAGCGAAUGAAAGCUUGCUUUUAUGAGCUUAGUGGCAAACGGGUGAGUAACACGUAGACAACCUGCCGAUAGGAUGGGGACAACAUUCCGAAAGGAAUGCUAAUACCGAAUGGCGUGUAGGGGAGGCAUCUCCCGUACAUGAAAGAUGGCCUCUGAAUAUGCUAUCACCUAUCGAUGGGUCUGCGUCUGAUUAGCUAGUAGGUAAGGUAACGGCUUACCUAGGCGACGAUCAGUAGCCGGUCUGAGAGGAUGAACGGCCACAUUGGGACUGAGACACGGCCCAGACUCCUACGGGAGGCAGCAGUGGGGAAUCUUCCGCAAUGGGCGCAAGCCUGACGGAGCAACGCCGCGUGAGUGAAGAAGGUCUUCGGAUCGUAAAGCUCUGUUGAAGGGGACGAACGAUCGAGGGGCG